rnacentral:lncRNA from 1 species
UAGUUAUAAAUCUCAUGCUACGCGUAUGUCGGCUUGCUCACCUGAAGAAUUGUUGCUAUGUAGUGGGUGUGCAGCCUAUGUUGUGACGAUACUUAUGAGAAAUGACGAGCACGGUGAGGAAUGAGGUGCGAUAAGCUUACAAUGAGCAAAGCUACCUGAUGAGUUGUGCAAACUCCACACUACUACAACAUUCUUCGUCUUGUGCCUGAUUGUGCCUUGGUAGCUGAAAGGCCGAUUCUUCGCCUGGUUUGCCUGGGAUGUGUUCGGGCAAUCCUGCGAUGCAUUUGGAAAAGCCUGAGCCUUGUCCGAAAACACAAACACGGCAAUACAAGCAGCAUAAACGUGCUCCUCUCCCUCGUCUCCCUCUCUCCCUGAACGCGUCUCCUCUCCCUCGUAGGAACGGGGUUGACCACGGGGGAGAUGGGGAUGGGGUGUGUAAACGGAGACGCGUGGACGUUUUCCGGGAGUUCCGCGGACCGCGAACGGGAGCGGUUGCGGUUGGAGUCCGUGGGAACGAGAGCCAUCGGAGGAUGAGGGAGACGAGACGAAGACGAAGACGAAGAUGACCAGCGAAGCGUGAAGGCAGGAUCGCCUAACAGGGUGUUUCCACUUGGCCGAACACUAACACUAAGUUUGAAUGUUCUUCGUCCUGGACUCGUUUCUCGCCGUUCUAAAUGCAUAUAUUGAUACUACUAAUGAUAAUAGAAAAUAUUCAUCAAACAAAUUGGAGGUUGGGGCACUCCUGGCGGAGAACCGUAAGGCCUAGUGGAAACACCCCGUACACUAAGUCCACACUAGCGCACACUAAAGUUCCGUCAGACGGCAAGCAACCAGGAAUCCACAUGGCGAAGUAUAAGCAUUGGAUGGGGUUGGCGGCCGAGCAAGCGGGCAGGAAGGAGGCGCUCCCGCACAUCACAAUGUUUAUCCCACGUUCGGCGAAUCGCAAGCUUACAGGGUGUUUCCACUUGGCCGGACACUAUCUUCGGUACACUAUGUGCUAGUGUGGACUUAGUAUAGUGCUAGUGUGACGGUGUUUCCACUAGCGGCACUAAGGAGCGCCGAAACCAAAAUUGUUUUCGUAUUAUGAAUGUUUUAGCGCCAGGGAUUAAUUGCUGAUAAUUAAGCAUUCGCGUAGUUAAGAUCCGCUGCGGCGCAACCUGCGUCAUGAUGUCCGCCAUGAAGUCCGCAUGGUGCAUUGGCAACGGCCGGCCAGCGAAGGAAGGCAAACGAGCAGUAUAUGUUUGCUGAACGUUAUUGAAGGAGGGCUCCAUUGCAAAAUGGCGGUGUUCUGAGGCUGUCGGUGUUGGGCGUGCGCAAGUCAACGCGGCGUUUGCAGGAAGGAAAAAAGAUAGCUGCUUACGUCUAAAGUCUAUGGUCAGAAGGGAAAUCCAGCUCAUAAAAGUUGCCCGCCAAAUAGUUAGUGCUAGGUACUAAAGUUAAUGGCAGGUCUGAGGUCCAAUUAACUUUAGUGUGCGCUAGUGUGGACUUAGUGUACGGGGUGUUUCCACUAGGCCUUACGGUUCUCCGCCAGGAGUGCCCCAACCUCCAAUUUGUUUGAUGAAUAUUUUCUACUAUCAUUAGUAGUAUCAACAUAUGCAUUUAGAACGGCGAGAGACGAGUCCAGGACGAAGAACAUUCAAACUUAGUGUUAGUGUUCGGCCAAGUGGAAACACCCUGUUAUGCAGUUUAGGCUUUGCUGUUGGGCACUGGCGGCUAACAGAGCGCGUAAGGGACGGCAUUAUAUACCUAGGGAGGAGCGAGUAUGCCCUUGCUGCGGCACUGAUAGCCACAUCGAGGAUGAGAAACACAUUUUGCUGGAUUGUCCGGUUUACGACGAAAUCAGAUCUGAUAUGGGCCUUCCACGCUUCGAGCAUAUGAAGGACGCUACGAAGUGGGAACCUGAACGCCUGGCAAGGAUGCUGGAACGUAUAUGGUCUCACCGCAACUCUAUCGUUCCCUUUGGUCGUUAGUAUACUUCAUCACUUGUCUCGUUGGAAGUGCGAGGUAGGAUGGUGCUUAUUGGCGAUUUGGUAGCCCUUGAGCCCUCGGCUCGUACUAGGGUAGUUUGCAGGUACGGGGAACGCACCCACGACCAUGUAACAACAACAACAACAACAACAACAACAACAACAACAGGACCUUUCGUCCAGCAUGGACACGUGGAUCCGCAGCCAAUGCAUGGAGGCACCAUCGGCCGAAGACAACCCAGCUGGCCUGAUCGCCUGGUGGCCAGGCUUCAAGCGCCGCCUUGCCACCCUGGCCCAUCGACUCAACAAGGCAGCACAACAACGCCGACGACGGCCUGGCACCCGUGCCCGGGAAGCAAUUGCUGCGGUCCAGCGGGCUCAGCAAGCAGUCGAUGCGGCGCCCACAGCACCCCAGCCACUGCAGCAGCUAGUGGACGCACAAGCAGCACUGGCUAGGGCGCACCAGGAGGAUGGCAGCAUGGCAGCCAAGGAAGCACGGGCCCACUGGCUCCGGGCAGGGGAACGGACCGGCCCUGCCCUGACAGCCUUCCUUAAAGCCCAGGCGGCCGAACAGCAGCCUGCCCCAGUCGCACUCCAGGCGCACAGCGGCCGCCUAGUGACCAACCCAGCACAACUGCCGCAGGUCGUGGCAGACUACUGGGCUGAGAUCAGCCGAGCUCCUGACUUCAUCAGCCCCAGUGCCCAACAGGAGGUACUUGCCCAGCUGUCUGCGGCCAACAUCAGCCUCCCUGCAAACGCAGAUGAACAGCUUGGCUCCAAAACCAUCACAGCAGCGGAGCUACGGGUCGCACUGGUCAAGAGCCAGCCCGGCAAGGCACCAGGAUGGGACGGCAUCCCAGCCGACCUAUACCGCAAAUUCUGGUCCACCAUUGGCAACACCAUGGCGGGCCUCUUCACCGCCAUAGGCGCAACGGGGCAGGUGCCGACCGGGUUCCUGGAAGGCAUUAUCACGGUGCUCUACAAGAAGGGCGACCCCAAGCAACCCGGUAACUACCGCCCUAUCACGCUACUAUGCGCCGACUACCGCCUGCUCGCCAAGGUACUGGCCAACCGCCUGGGGCCGGCCCUGGGGCGCAUCAUCACCCCCGAGCAGUCGGCCUUCCUCCCCAAACGGCUCAUCGGGGCCAGUGUGAUGUUCCUGCGCCACCUAUCCCACCUCCUCCGCAAGCAGAACCGCCGGGGUCUCCUGGCGUUCCUGGACUUCGCGAAGGCAUAUGACACGGUGGACCGCGACUUCUUGCUAGCUGCGAUGGAGGCGAUGAGGGCGGGCCCGCAGCUGUGCAGCUGGGUUCGGCUACUGCUCAGCAACACGCAGGCACGAGCCAUGGUCAAUGGCUUUAAAUCAAGGCUGGUUGGGAUGGAGGCAGGCGUACGACAGGGGUGCCCCCUCGCGCCUCUGCUGUACCUCUUCAUCGCCCAGGCCCUGCUCUGCUGGCUCCGGAGCCGAGAUGUGGGGGUCAAACUACGGCCGAAUGACCAGGACCGCGUCACAGCCUGCCAGUUCGCGGACGAUACUGAAGUGGCGCUGGAGGGCGAGGAGUCAGUACCGUCGUUCCUAGAAGCCAUGGAGACCUUCGCAAGGGCGUCAGGCCAGCGCCUCAAUGUGGAAAAGGUGGAGCUGUUGAGGGUCGGUGCUGAGAACCAGCAACAACAGCAGCAGCCACAACCGGCGGGUAGGCAGCAGCUGCAGCAGCCACUACACCAACAGCCGCAGCAGGAGACAAUUGGUGGACUCAAAGUAGUCACCACCGCCACAGCCCUGAACUUGCCGGUAGACAACCGGCCCACACCCCCGCAACCCGAAUGGCCCAAGAUGCUGGCAGGCGCCUACAAGCGGAUGCAGCGGCUCGCCCGCUUCCCACUGUCAGCCUUCGGCAGGGCCACCGCCACGUCCGCCUACGGCCUGCAGACGGUCACCUGGCACAUGGAACAUGGCGGACCCCCUCCAGACAGCACUCUGGACCACAUCGAGCGGCUGACGGCCCGCCUGGUCGACCGGCAACAGGGCCCAGAAGACCCAGGCCAGCGUCUCACAGGUGUACCCGGCAGCCUUUUAGUAGGCCAUCCGUCAACCGGGGGUUUCGGCCUGCUGCCGCUCCGACAGCACAUCCACGCUCGCCACGCAGUCUGGGCCGUGCGAUUCAUUGCACAGGCACUACCGGCGGCAGGUUGUGAAGGUAGGGGUGCGGGAGGGGAAGUAACUGGGGGAGCAGGCGGGGACGAGGAGGUGGCAGCGGCAACCAACAGUGAGGCCCGGGGCCUACACCCCUGGGUACGCACGCUGUCCGCCUACCUGGAGCUCACCCACCCUGCACUCCAGCCUUGGGCUCUGACAACCGCCCGGGCCACGGGACCGUGGCUCGGCAGCAGCGACCUUCCCGCAGACAUCAGCCGGAUCGUGGGGGCACUGGGUCACUUACCGCCUCUGGAGGACAUUGGCAGAACCCCUCUGGAACCCGGUGAUUGGUGCUGGGCGGUGGCGCUGUGGGGCAACCCACUGCUGCCCAACGCGACCAAUGCUGCAAGCACCGAGGGCCCCAGCCGUCGACCAGGCCUGGAAGCAUACCACGCAGCACUGACGCCAUGCAGGAAACUACGCACGGUGGGGGACCUGGUACGGGUGUGGGAAGCGGUAAACACUAGCCAAGCCACCACCCUCCAGGGAGCAGCCUGGCAUUCGUGGGCCCGUGAGCACCUCGACCCAGCCACAGACCCCGCCCAGCUGCAGGACAAGGAUGCCGCCCUUGCAGCUCUUGGAGCCCUGCACAGCGACAUCAGCCCGGCCUGGCUGGCGGCAGCACACGCGGUGGAGAUCAGGCUGCGACAGCAACAACCAGUGGAGGAGGAGGGGCCCCAGCAGCAGCCACCAGCACCAGCAGUGACACUGCCAGACUGCGCACAAGUGAUGGCUAUGAUCAUCGGGCGCCUGGGGUGGCGCCUCCCUGGGGCGACGGACGCUGUGCCGCUCCGCCGCCUAACGGUCAGUCUAGCGACACAGCUACAGAACGGGCAUGUGGACGAGCGGCGAAUACGCCUGAUGACCGACUUCGUGCAUGAGGCCCUGAACACGCCCGAGGCCCAGGCCCAGCCUGACAAUUCUGCCGAGGUUAGCCGCUUUCAGGCAACCCUGACACGUUUGUGGCAUGGGGUGCGCUGGGAGAAUGAGAACAAGGAGACCAUGUGGCGUCUCGCCNNNNNNNNNNNNNNNNNNNNNNNNNNNNNNNNNNNNNNNNNNNNNNNNNNUGUCCAGUCGCACGUGCCGUACGGGAGCAGAUCGACAGGCACCUGCCACACACUCAGACAACAGUAGGGGCCACCACCACCCGGCAGCAGCUCUGGCUUGCCCAAGCGCCACCCGGGUGUGAGCAGGGCCCGUGGGACGUGAUCGCCCUAGCGGCGCUAUCCGCCAUGGAAGUCGGCAGGUGCUGCCUCCGAGCAGCAACCCGGCGACAGGGACGGAGGGGGGCGACAGCAACGGCAGGACCGCAGCAGCAGCAGCGACAGCAGCAGCGACAGGUGGUGGGGCAGCCCCAGCAACAGAGGUCCCGCCAGCGGGCCAUCACAGAUUUCUUCACCCCGGCGGGAGGUGCAAUGCAGCAAGAAGGACCCACCCUAAACGCCCCAGCGGAGGACGGGCCAACGCAGGAAGCAGGGGCGGGAGGGGGCGAGGCGGUGGCAGCAGCAGCAACGGCGGGCGCAACAGGAGCCUCGCCACUGGCCCGCGCACGCGCCCGGGCGGUGGCAGACGUCUGGGCGCGUUUGCGCUCGUUCGCAAUGCUGGAGACCCCCAGACACGGCUGGGACAGAGUCGGGCCGCAGCACCCCAUCCUGGCGGUCGUGGAGGAACGGAUGCGGUGCGCAGCACCGGUGGAAAUCACGGCCUAAAUAGCCGAGAUAGAGUUGGAUCGAGGUCUUACCGGAAAGGGAGCAGGGAGAGUGAGGGAGGGGGUGAGAGAGCCAGGAGUAGGGAUAGGUGAGGGAGCGAGGAGAGCAGGGAGGCCCUGGACAGUUGGAGGGCUGGGCGAGAGGGCAGUGCCCUGAGCGUGGUCUAGCAGGGGGAGUUGAGGACCCGGGCUGUGUGUGUUUUGUGUACUUGUGUGGUUGCCCUCUCCCCGGGAAUUGGGGCCCGUCGGAGUGAGGGGAAUGGGUUCUGCGCUGUCUGGCAUCAGAGUAGAGAACACGUAGGUGGCUUGCGGGAGUGGAGAGGAGGUGGGAAAGCGGUGGAGGAGAGUGGUUUAGAGGUGGAGAACAGGUGGUGCUGGUCCCGGCCGGUCAGGGUCAGGAGGGGAGGGAUUCCGGUGUGGUAAGCGGGAACAGGCGGCGUCUGUGAGCCGUGCCUUUUCCGGGCUUUAUAGGGGGGCGCCGUGCUGGCUUGUCAUCCCCCCCGCGGCUAUAGGUGUUUUUGCUGUGUCUCGCGCUGGGCUGCAUCCGAGAGCCCGCAACCCCCAGGAGGAGACUGACGUGCGGACCAGUUUCGCCUCGUUUGUGAGUGGACCGGCGGGGUAGUGGUGGCCACCCUCGGGAAGUGAUCGUUGUUCGUUGCUCGUGGUAGUUGAACAGCUGGCCUUCGAGGACCAGUGUGCGAGUACUCGCUUUGUGUUGGUCAUUCCUGUGCAACCGUAUCUCGGCUUUUGUGGUGUGUCGUCUCAGGCCCGUGGUCCUCCGUGUGUCCCUUGCCUUGCUGGCUGCGUGGGGCCCUGGUUCUUUUGUGUGUGUAGAGGAGGCCCCCGAGUAGAGCCCCUGCCCCCGGUGGUGUUUUCUUUUUGUUCUGGUUUUGGCGGUCAAGAGGGACGAGAGCGCGUGAAUAGGCAGGCCAGGCGAAGUGGCGCCUUUCGUGCGGUUCUUGCAUAGAUCGGUUUGCGCCGCUGUGUUGCCUAGCCAGGGGCUGGGAGAGUGUCCCGGUUGGCGUGAGUGAGGGAUCGAGGCGCGCGCGGAGGAACAGACGGACGUAGAGCCGCGCGCCCAUCCCUGCGCUGUGUUUCGGCCCGGUCAGGGCCCCCGGUGCUCGUCCUUUAUCGGGCGAGCCGCCCACAGUGUAACACCCCAUCAACAACAACUACCAGGACCUCAGACCUGCCAUUAACUUUAGUACCUAGCACUAACUAUUUGGCGGGCAACUUUUAUGAGCUGGAUUGUCCCUUCUGACCAUAGACUUUCGACGUAAGCAGCUAUCUUUUUUCCUUCCUGCAAACGCCGCGUUGACUUGCGCACGCCCAACACCGACAGCCUCAGGACACCGCCAUUUUGCAAUGUAGCCCUCCUUCAAUAACGUUCAGCAAACAUAUACCGCUAGUUUGCCUUACUUCGCUGGCCGGACGUUGCCAAUGCACCAUGCGGACUUCAUGGCGGACAUCAUGUGAGGGCUGCCAGGAAAAGCCUACGAUCCAUAAUUUUUCUUACAGACCUUGACAAUUAUCAGCAAUCAAUUCCUGGCGCUAAAACAUUUAAAAUACGAAAACAAUUUUGGUUUCGGCGCUCCUUAGUGCCGCUAGUGGAAACACCGUCACACUAGUACAACGUUCUAUAUUUUAUUACUUUUUCCUUUCCGUAUUUGUGUUCUUUGCUUGCCGCUUCACGUCGACAUUUUUUCGGACGUGACACCUUGUCACACCCCAUAUGUUUGGUCGAUUUGCGUCAUGUGAACUCUUAUGCUCGGCCAUUACUUCACAAUGGAGAUCUUCCUUGCAUUUGCCGUGUUUCCUCUCUUAUUCAACAACACCGCGUUUCGGCCCCGGCCGCAACGCGUCCUGUUACGACAUUCUUGCCGGGUUGCGCAAAGAAUAAUUGUGUCUCAGUCCAAGCAUGCUCGUCCAUUUUCAUCCAACAUUCAGGUGGGCAGGAUAAAGUCUAGUUUUUUCUUUCUGUUGUUCUUCCUGCUUUCCUGCUUUCUGAGUCAUGAACCUUGUGACAAAGCAAACAACCAUGUGAGUUAAAAAUGGAGUGACUACAUUCUCGUUUCAAUUUCCUCUUUCAAAGCCUUCCAAGUUUCUUGCUUCCUCAGGUGGCUUAUGUGAGCUCAUGAGGCUCGGGCGGCCAAAGUCUGGCUCGAUUUCAUCGUGCAAGGUUGAUCAGGUCAUAAGGGUUUGUUAGCAUUUGCACGGUAACAGUAUUUGCACCGCCUUUCGUUUAGUGAUGAGUCCUGUUGCAACGCAAAGUUGGUUUCCCUCUGUGCAGUUUUGUGGCCAUUGUUUGUUUCUUUGGAAACAUCCUGUUGUUUGGAAACACGCAUAACAUAAGCUACCAAAGGCUUGCUCGUUACAUUUUCCUGAAAAGUUUCUUACCGAUACCGGUACCAGUACUGACUGUAAUCCCGUUUGCCUGACGAAAAAGAAUAUACUCUGAUUUACUCGGUAAGCCAUUAGUUCCUACGCAUUCACCUAUUAAUCCAAUAAUAAUGCUGCUCACGGAUGACCGGCCCUAUUUUGACCACAGGCCGCGCCAUAGAACUGCAAGGCUACGGCCCGCCUUCAGGCCCGAAUGCACUGCACUUUUACUGACUCAUAAACCUCCCCAAAGCCAUGCUAACAUAUCUCCAAAAUAAUACACCAUCAAGAAAUCGCCUCCUGCUAGUAAAAGGCAAUAUAAGGCAAAUAGGGCCGGUCAUCCGUAAGCAGUCCCUAAUCGCAUUCUAUAUCGCUGGCACCCGUACCCCAAGGACCCUUGCGCUGUCUUAUAACGAGUCGCGAGAAUCAUUUAGAGUCUCUGAUCAAUUUGUAAUUCUUGGGCUGCACUACAACGACGUGUCCGUACGCCCUACAUACGGCUUAUGGUCGCCAAGUAACAUAAUACUAUGACACUACCGUUACGCUGAUACACAAGUUACUACGAUAGUAGUGCAAGUGGUGCGAAUGGGCAACAUGAGAGUUAACUUCGCUUCAAGACUAAUCCGUUUGUUAUGGGGAGGGCUUUACGUGGCCACUGUGUCCGCUUCUUUCUCAAGUACUCACAGCUUUGAAGCGCAAAAAUCCCUACGUGUUGCUGCUUAUGACGACGAAUGGGGGCUCCAUGCCGCCCGCAACUUGUCUGCUUGGCGCUCGCACCUCUUUGUGGCGACAGAAAAGGUUAGCUGUCCAAGUUAUAUGCUGGAUCAAUAAAUAUAUAUAAGUGUUAGCAGCCGCAAAGAAGUUGACACGGGAGUCCCUUCUGUUGAAAAGGUUGCGAGACUGUUCCAAACCGUAGCGGAAUUUUCUGUGCAGAGCCCUGCCAACGCUUGCAGUGAUCUCUUACCAUGGGGAUUUUGAAGAGUAUUUAGUCACAAUAAAGAAAGAUGUGUUAUGGCAAGAAGAGCGUCUGUGCCGGUAGGGUAUCUCCGCCGCUGUCUACCAAUGAAUGCUUAUGUAACAUUGUCGAGGGAAGCUUGAAUAUCGGAUGUGUGAGGCCCCAAUUGCAUCACAGGACACGACUCACCGUCAUAUUCUUGCAAAUGAUGGCAACCGGGCCCGGCAGCACUUCACAUCCCUCCUCUCUGACCCCCCCUUCUUCCGCGCCCAGUACAUCGUCUCUAAGGGCAACACCGACAAGCCGAGGGACUGGGACCGGUUCCACUUGUUCCAGCCCUUCAUCAGCUGCCCGCCAGGGCGGCCGCUGCGCCGUGUGGGUCCCGAGGGUGAUGGCGGCAAAUGGCUCUGUGAGCCCGCUGCCCUAAAGGAACCGUGCAUCGUCAUUUCCAUGGGCAGCAACAUGGAUUUCAGGUAGGCGUGGUGUCUAAUGGAAAGAUCUCCGCACUGGGGACUCACUUUGAUAUUUGCCGCGGCCGACAUCUGAAACCCGACAAGUGUGCCCUAGUAGUACCCAGCUGCGGGCGGGGGCGGGGGCGGGGCCUGGAAAGAGUUGGAAGUUGGUUCGAUUGGUGUGCUUUGAAGACCAAGCCGCAGAUCAGCGCUCGUAAGUUUAGAGCUGACCCCCCAGUCCUUAGGAUGUUUGGAUUUGCGAAUGGUGGUUGCGGCAUACAGCCCAGUAGGUGCUCCUCCACCUCACCAUUUCGAAAAAUGAAACGAUAACGCUUGCUAGCACUUCAUCUCCAGAGGGCGCCCUAAACACAAGCUCAACGCUGCGUUCAAAUGUGACCUUAUGACUGAUGCCAUGUGGUAACGCUGCGGUUACUAUGCUUUUGCUGCUACUCCUGCUGCUGGUGCUGUUGCCGCUAAUAUGCCAAAUGUACGAAUGUACGACAGGUUCGAGGAGGCCAUCUUGAAUGAGACGCGCUGCAAGGUCGCCACCCUAGAUUGCACGGUGGAGGGCAAGAAGCUCUCAGACCGCCACUCCUUCCACAAACUGUGCGUGGGUUCAGCUGCCGCAGCGCAGCGAGACCCUGCAUUUGUGACGUACAGCCAGUUUAUUUCGGUGUUAGGCGAGCAUAAAAUUGACGUACUGAAAAUCGACGUCGAGUCAUUUGAGUUUCCGCUGUUCGGGGAGUGGCGUGAGCACACGCGAUCCCUGCCCGAUCAGAUUGCCGUAGAAGUUCACUGGCAUGAGAUGUACAUGAGGAAUUUUGAGGCAGACCUUCAAUCGCACUGGGGUCGCGGUGAAUUUGGCGUGACGGAUCUGGCGUUGUUCUUCUUCCACCUAGCAAACCUGGGCUAUGGCAUUGUCAGCCAGGAGAUAAACGUUUUGUGUGGGAUGUGCUCCGAAUUCACACUGGUACGGGUUGAGGCAUCAGUGCCGUACGGCGGCAUGGAUCCCGUAUAUUCGGGAUGGCACAGUACCUAAUAAGCUUGCCUUAGUUAGCCUAGGACUGGUUGUCGUGUGAGAUGCAGGGGCUGGGCAAGGAUAUGGUGCGCCAGAAUGUUGAGUGCGUGUGAGGACAUCGACAGUUCACGGGAGGAGCGCUAGUUUAAGUGUUUUUUGAAAUGGCUGCGUAUGGCCAUCCAGCUCCGCCCUUGACUUGUCUCUGAUUAUGGUUGUAAAGGAGACCACCAAAAGGUUGGCCCUGAGGGCCGCUUGAUGUGAUUCCUGAGUGCAGGCCACCUCCAAAACUGGGGCCGGCGGGGUCCGUGUGCGUGACGACCCGAUCGUGUUGUCGCACUCAUGUUGUGAUCCCAGUAGCGUCAGCGCACCUAGUUCGGUUCCGAGAGGCACCGAAGAAAAAUUUUAGGUUCUAUAAAACCUGGAAUAGCUACCCAAAAUACAGAAGGACCCAACAAUUCCUUCUGUUAAGUUAAAAAAAGCGGCAGCUCAUUCAACUGUCGUAGUGCUAAGCUAAUUUGGUGAUUUCCAUUUGGCGAGAGCCAAAAAACGCCUUCGAAAAUUUUGCCUUCGCACAUGCCAGUUGGUGACGGUUCAAGCGGGAAAUAGGUCUGGAUUUUUAGGCUUGGCUGUUACUCUUCCUGCUGUGUAAGGCCCGUGGCAGCGGUACAAUCCUCGCCAAAAAAAUCGUCCAAACCGCGCCGUUCAGCACCAUCGGGUCAGCCAAUCCACAGCCACCAAAGCCAGUUACGGGAGUCAGUAAAACACAGAACACGUGUUCUGAAAAUUGGUGACGGCCAAAAGGCCCACCGCGCACGCGCACAACCGCGCCGUUGAGUCUCAAACCCUUUCCAUAACGCAGCGAAAUGACCACCUAUUGCCUUGGAUGAUUAGUCGUUCAGUCGCACUCCUAAAGCGAGGUACCGUCGGUGCAACCUCUCCCUACAAACCGCAACCACCUGCCGCAGCUCCUCGUACUCAGCAUCGUCACCCGCUCCAUCAUAUCUAUAUGAUAGGAUUAACCAGUCUCAGCGUGAUUUCUUGCUUUUAUGUUGGACCAUUUCUUUAGUUUGCACGGCAUUUGGCGACCAGUCGUACAGGAACCCAGUACCCAUUUCCACGGCGCACCCAAUUGGUGAUUUUCACCAAUUAUAUGUCACCAAAUUAGCUUAGCACUACGGUAGAUUGAAGUGGCAGUUCCGACACGGGAUUCCGUGACGCGUUUCUGCAGCGCGUGACAGAAUGCCGGGGCGCUUAUGAAGUUUUUGUUACGUAUGUAUGCGUUAUUUCAAGUAGAAUGCAGCCAGAGUGCGCUACCAGAAAACGGCGAGCAGGCGCGGCCGUCGUCUACUGGGCACCGACGAAUGUGACGCAAAACGUGAAGCGCAGUCAGCCCCUUAAGGCAAGCUUGCAAAAACAUGAAUAAAAAAGAAGCUCCUCGACGAAACGUGAUGCAAGGACGAGCGACCAGUACACCGUUCAUACGCAUCCAAAAUGCGAACGGCACGGCUGGUAUAAGAUGUUUAACUAGAUGUGCAACGGUUAUUAAUACAAGAAAAUGCUAUAUUAUUUAUGAUUUGCAAGCAGCUACUAGAACAAUGCGUUUGUUGGCUACGAAAGCUACGAAUCGUACAUUUUGGAUACAGCACACAUUUGAUAACUCACCAGGCAUUAUCAUGGAUAACAGCAGUAACCCGAUGAAAAGAAAGUAGCGAGCAGCGCUCCAAAGAUGACCCAUGGGUCAUCCGUUGCCCGACCGAGAACAGCGAAAGCAUCAAUCAUCUUUUGGAGCCAUGGCACCGGAGCCAUGGCUCCGGUGGCCACCGGCAUAUGCGGUUGCGUGUCUACUACCAGAGCACCUUGAGCUGUAGGUCAAAAAUUGCAUGUAAUCGUUUACUAAGCUUCUACACGUAAGCUAUUAUACAUGAACACAUGGCAUGGAGUAUAGGUGUUUAGUAUACAGGAUUGUACGGCAUGGAUUGACUGUGAACGAGUCGCACAGACGAGAAGGUAGGCGGAGUAGAAAGCGGUCUCACCGGCAGCCAGGAUGAUCAGCAUUCCAGCGGAAGGUGGUGCAGAGUAAGUGUUCGCGCAUCGCAGCAAUUUUUUUAUGAUAGCUUGAUGAUCGAUCGCACAGCGCGAUAAUGUACUUGCCAAGGAUUUCAGACUCACAUAAGUACUUUGUUUAUUACAAAGCAGGUAAAAGGAGUAGUAAACAGCUCGGCGACUUCGCCCCGACAGAGAUCGAGCCGCGCAAAAAUGACUAGGAGAUCUUCCGAUAAUUAUAAGUGCCCUAAACGAAAGAGAUCACGUAUUUGGCAGCUUGGAAAUGACUAGCGAAACUCUCCCUAUAGGGUGUUUGUACGACACGGAUAAAAAUGAGUUGCGAAGGUGAUCGAAGGUAAUAAAGGCGGGGGCAA